CAACCCCUGGAACGGGAUUCGCGAGCUUUCUCUCCGCUGUGAGACGCUUGUGGAUGAGCGGCGGACGGGUGAGUAACACGUGGGCAACCUGCCUGUAAGACUGGGAUAACCCCGGGAAACCGGGGCUAAUACCGGAUAAUACUUUCCUUUGCAUAAAGGAAAGUUGAAAGGCGGCUUCGGCUGUCACUUACAGAUGGGCCCGCGGCGCAUUAGCUAGUUGGUGAGGUAACGGCUCACCAAGGCGACGAUGCGUAGCCGACCUGAGAGGGUGAUCGGCCACACUGGGACUGAGACACGGCCCAGACUCCUACGGGAGGCAGCAGUAGGGAAUCUUCCGCAAUGGACGAAAGUCUGACGGAGCAACGCCGCGUGAGUGAUGAAGGUUUUCGGAUCGUAAAACUCUGUUGUUAGGGAAGAACAAGUUGGGUAGUAACUGACCCAACCUUGACGGUACCUAACCAGAAAGCCACGGCUAACUACGUGCCAGCAGCCGCGGUAAUACGUAGGUGGCAAGCGUUGUCCGGAAUUAUUGGGCGUAAAGCGCUCGCAGGCGGUCCUUUAAGUCUGAUGUGAAAUCUCGCGGCUCAACCGCGAACGGUCAUUGGAAACUGGAGGACUUGAGUACAGAAGAGGAGAGUGGAAUUCCACGUGUAGCGGUGAAAUGCGUACAGAUGUGGAGGAACACCAUCGGCGAACGCGACUCUCUGGUCUGUAACUGACGCUGAGGAGCCAAAGCGGGGGAGCGAACAGGAUUACAUACCCUGGUAGUCCACGCCGUAAACGAUGAGUGCUAGCUGUUACGGGUUUCCGCCCUUAGUGCUGAAGUUACCGCAUUAAGCACUCCGCCUGGGGAGUACGGUCGCAAGGCUGAACUCAAAGAAUUGAUGGGGGCCCGCACAACGGUGAAUCAUGUGGUUUU
rnacentral:rRNA from 1 species